rnacentral:lncRNA from 1 species
AUUAUUCCAAUUGCCCUUUUCCAGGAUAUCAAUUGCCCUUUUCCAUGGUGCCAAUUCCCAUUUUCUCUCCCAGGGUCCCAAUUCCCAUUUUCUCUCCCAGGGUCCCAAUUCCCAUUUCCAGGUCCCAAUUCCCAUUUCCAUGGUCCCAAUUCCUAUUUCCAGGGUCCCAAUUCCCAUUUCCAUGGUCCCAAUUCCCAUUUCCAGGGUCCCAAUUCCCAUUUCCAGGGUCCCAAUUCCCAUUUUCUCUCCCAGGAUUCCAAUUCCCAUUUCCAGGGUCCCAAUUCCCAUUUUCCAUAGUACCAAUUGUUCUCUUCCAGGGUCCCAAUUGCCCUUUUCAAGGAUGCCAAUUCCCAUUUUCUUUCCCAGUGUCCCAAUUCCCAUUUUCCAUGGUCCCAAUCCCCAUUUCCAGGAUCCCAAUUCCCAUUUUCUCUUUCAGGAUCCCAAUUCCCAUUUCCAUGGUCCCAAUUCCCAUUUUCCAUUAUUCCAAUUGCCCUUUUCCAGGGUCCCAAUUGCCCUUUUCCAGGAUGCCAAUUCCCAUUUUCUCUCCCAGGGUGCCAAUUCCCAUUUCCAUGGUACCAAUUCCCAUUUCCAGGGUCCCAAUUCCCAUUUUCCAUUAUUCCAAUUGCCCUUUUCCAGGGUCCCAAUUGCCCUUUUCAAGGAUGCCAAUUCCCAUUUUCUUUCCCAGGGUCCCAAUUGCCAUUUCCAGGGUCCCAGUUCCCAUUUCCAGGGUACCAAUUCCCAUUUCCAUGGUCCCAAUUCCCAUUUUCCAGGGCCCCAAUUCCCAUUUCCAGGUCCCAAUUCCCAUUUCCAGGAUGCCAAUUCCUAUUUUCUCUUCCAGAAUGCCAAUUCCCAUUUUCCAGAAUCCCAAUUGCCAUUUUCUCUCCCAGGAUGCCAAUUUCCAUUUUCUCAUUCAGAAUCCCAAUUCCCGUUUUCUCUUCCAGAAUCCCAGUUGUCCUUUUCUUUCCCAGGGUCCCAAUUCCCACUUUCUCUUCCAGUGUCCCAAUUCCCAUUUUCUUUUCCAGGGUGCCAAUUGCCAUUUUCCAGAAUCCCAAUUCCCAUUUUCUGUGCCAGGGUGCCAAUUGCCAUUUUUCAGAGUCUCAAUUGCCAUUUUCUUUUCCAUGAUGCCAAUUGCCCUUUUCUCUUCCAUGAUGCCCAAUUCCCAUUUUCUCUCCCAGGGUCCCAAUUCCCAUUUUCUCUCCCAGGAUGCCAAUUCCCAUUUCCAGGGUCCCAAUUCCCAUUUCCAGUGUCCCAAUUCCCAUUUCCAUGCUGUCAAUUCCCAUUUCCAUGGU